rnacentral:rRNA from 1 species
GCUGGGGGUGAAAGGCCAAUCAAACCGGGAGAUAGCUGGUUCUCCCCGAAAGCUAUUUAGGUAGCGCCUCGUGAAUUCAUCUCCGGGGGUAGAGCACUGUUUCGGCUAGGGGGCCAUCCCGGCUUACCAACCCGAUGCAAACUGCGAAUACCGGAGAAUGUUAUCACGGGAGACACACGGCGGGUGCUAACGUCCGUCGUGAAGAGGGAAACAACCCAGACCGCCAGCUAAGGUCCCAAAGUCAUGGUUAAGUGGGAAACGAUGUGGGAAGGCUCAGACAGCCAGGAUGUUGGCUUAGAAGCAGCCAUCAUUUAAAGAAAGCGUAAUAGCUCACUGGUCGAGUCGGCCUGCGCGGAAGAUGUAACGGGGCUAAACCAUGCACCGAAGCUGCGGCAGCGACACGAAGUGUUGUUGGGUAGGGGAGCGUUCUGUAAGCCUGUGAAGGUGUGCUGUGAGGCAUGCUGGAGGUAUCAGAAGUGCGAAUGCUGACAUAAGUAACGAUAAAGCGGGUGAAAAGCCCGCUCGCCGGAAGACCAAGGGUUCCUGUCCAACGUUAAUCGGGGCAGGGUGAGUCGACCCCUAAGGCGAGGCCGAAAGGCGUAGUCGAUGGGAAACAGGUUAAUAUUCCUGUACCAGGUGUUACUGCGAAGGGGGGACGGAGAAGGCUAUGUUGGCCGGGCGACGGUUGUCCCGGUUUAAGCGUGUAGGUGUGUGUUCCAGGUAAAUCCGGUUCACUUUAACACUGAGGCGUGAUGACGAGGCACUACGGUGCUGAAGCAACAAAUGCCCUGCUUCCAGGAAAAGCCUCUAAGCAUCAGGUAACAUCAGAUCGUACCCCAAACCGACACAGGUGGUCAGGUAGAGAAUACCAAGGCGCUUGAGAGAACUCGGGUGAAGGAACUAGGCAAAAUGGUGCCGUAACUUCGGGAGAAGGCACGCUGAUAUGUAGGUGAAGCGAUUUACUCGUGGAGCUGAAAUCAGUCGAAGAUACCAGCUGGCUGCAACUGUUUAUUAAAAACACAGCACUGUGCAAACACGAAAGUGGACGUAUACGGUGUGACGCCUGCCCGGUGCCGGAAGGUUAAUUGAUGGGGUUAUCCGUAAGGAGAAGCUCUUGAUCGAAGCCCCGGUAAACGGCGGCCGUAACUAUAACGGUCCUAAGGUAGCGAAAUUCCUUGUCGGGUAAGUUCCGACCUGCACGAAUGGCGUAAUGAUGGCCAGGCUGUCUCCACCCGAGACUCAGUGAAAUUGAACUCGCUGUGAAGAUGCAGUGUACCCGCGGCAAGACGGAAAGACCCCGUGAACCUUUACUAUAGCUUGACACUGAACACUGGUCCUUGAUGUGUAGGAUAGGUGGGAGGCUUUGAAGCGCGGACGCCAGUUCGUGUGGAGCCGCCCUUGAAAUACCACCCUUUAAUGGCUGGUGUUCUAACGUGGGCCCGUAAUCCGGGUUGCGGACAGUGUCUGGUGGGUAGUUUGACUGGGGCGGUCUCCUCCUAAAGAGUAACGGAGGAGCACGAAGGUUAGCUAAUCCUGGUCGGACAUCAGGAGGUUAGUGCAAAGGCAUAAGCUAGCUUGACUGCGAGCGUGACGGCGCGAGCAGGUGCGAAAGCAGGUCUUAGUGAUCCGGUGGUUCUGAAUGGAAGGGCCAUCGCUCAACGGAUAAAAGGUACUCCGGGGAUAACAGGCUGAUACCGCCCAAGAGUUCAUAUCGACGGCGGUGUUUGGCACCUCGAUGUCGGCUCAUCACAUCCUGGGGCUGAAGUAGGUCCCAAGGGUAUGGCUGUUCGCCAUUUAAAGUGGUACGCGAGCUGGGUUUAGAACGUCGUGAGACAGUUCGGUCCCUAUCUGCCGUGGGCGCUGGAGAAUUGAGGGGGGCUGCUCCUAGUACGAGAGGACCGGAGUGGACGCAUCACUGGUGUUCGGGUUGUCAUGCCAAUGGCACUGCCCGGUAGCUAAAUGCGGAAGAGAUAAGUGCUGAAAGCAUCUAAGCACGAAACUUGCCCCGAGAUGAGUUCUCCCUGACCCUUUAAGGGUCCUGAAGGAACGUUGAAGACGACGACGUUGAUAGGCCGGGUGUGUAAGCGCAGCGAUGCGUUGAGCUAACCGGUACUAAUGAACCGUGAGGCUUAACCUU